rnacentral:RNase_P_RNA from 2 species
CGAGAAAAUUGGUCUGUUGAUUCUUAUUUCGGUAAGGGUAGGAAAGUCCGGACACCAUAGAGCAGCAAAGCGGAUAACAUCCGUCGCCCGCGAGGGUAGGACAAGUGCAACAGAAAGCAGGUACAGUACGGCUGUAGUGAAACCAGGUAAACUCUUUGCGGUGCAAUGAUAAGUAUAUCGGUUUUUUUCAGAAAUGAAAAUCAGGAGCGGCUCGCUCUGAAAGCCGAGGGGUAAUCAGCUCAAGUUUUGCAGCAAUGUAAAGCGCAGAUAAAUAACAGACGUCCCGAUGUAUCGGGAGACAGAAUCCGGCUUACAGAUUUUCUCGUGGU